GUAAAGCCUGCAAGCAAUACUAGUUACCAGCACCAACUACAAGAAAGAUAUUGGGUGUGAUUAGAACAACCAAGAUAAUACCAAAUCCCAGGAAUUAAGAUACAAAGAAAAGGAAUACAGGGCUACAAAACUUACAAAAGAAGUCGUCUAUGCUGACACUCUACAGCAGUACUGAUGAUUUGCCGAUGGAUACCUGUGCAUGUCCGAGGUUGGUGAACGUGUAAUUUCCCCGAUGUCACAAACUUGGUCUACAAUCUACAGUCUACAAUCUUGUUGGCUUCUAUCUAGUCAUAGGUCCAUGGCUGGCAUCAGAGAAGCAUGAAUUCCUGGGUCUCUCUGCGGCAGGUCAAGCAGCUGGAGUCUCGGAUGCAUGCACAGGUGAAGUGGAGUGGACAAAUCAGCUACCAGUAUACAGUAAUCCGGUGCUCCCAAAGAUCCACAAAUUGCCUAAGAUUCUCCUCCAUUACAGUGAAUAAUUGGAGGUGCCACUAUGCUUUUUCUUCUUUUAGUAUUUAUUGCCCAUCCAAAAGUGAAAUUUUGUAUGACAACACUCCUGUGAUGUAAC